GGCCGCUUAGCCAAGUGGUAAGGCAUUGGCUUUAGGAAACUCUUCCGCCGCCAAUAUGCGCGUGUUCGAUCCACGCAGUGGUCA
rnacentral:tRNA from 1 species